GACACAUUAUGAGCUUUCAAGAAAUGAACUAUGUAGAUAGAAGAAUGUAUUCUACCCUCAGACCAGCUGAGUUUAAAUCCUUGCUUCACUGCUUAACUAACUGUGUCACCAUUGUUCAAUUGGUUAACCUUUCACUUACUCAGUUUGCUUUUCUGUUACAGGCACAAAAAAGGGAUAUACUUCCGGGGACUGUUGAAAAAAUUAGAAAUUACACACACACAAGUGUGCACACACACACACACACAAUGAUUGAAGCAAGGUCUGCAACAUACCUCUUGUGCCCAAUGUCACUGAACCAAGAUAAGAAAACUCCUAUGAUGAUGACUCCUUAGGCCUACAGUCUGCAGGGAUGAUUCUUCUGUACUCGGCCGGAAUGAAGGGAUGGAGUCAAAGGCAUUCAUCUCUGCUGCCCUCUUGGAUAAAAAGAAGAGACUAAUAUUCAGUAUGAUAUUCAUCUUCACCCAUGAAGGUUCUUUAAGAACACUUGCCAGCAGUGAGGAAUGGCAUCCUCUAUAUUAACUAUCUUAUAUAAAGCAUUACUUCAGGGCCAUAGUAAUCAUCAGUAAGUGAUGAUCAAAGUCUUCCAAGUGUAGUGAGGUACAACCCAUUAGAUAAAUUUUAUGGAAGAACUGCUGCUGGGUCUCUCUUCUGUAAAAUAAUCAUAUAGCUCUUUCAUUUUUUAACUAUUUUAAUUUGAGGUUCAACAAGUAUGCAACAAUAGCUGGAUAUUGUAUAUACAGACAAUUCCACAUCUCUGUUAUUUGGGAACUUAAUGUUAUAUAGAAAUUUAUAUUGUUGUUAGUCUACUUUUUUUGUCCCUUAAGGUUGUUAAGGAAAUUCUAACAGAGUUUGCAAUUCAUUUGCCACAUUAAUGACUUUAAAUUCUUUCCAAGACACCUAUGAAAAUAUAAAUAUAACUACAGAAUAUAACACCUUAACAGUAUUUUUGGUUCUCUUUUCUAUUGCUGAAUUUCACCUCAGAGUCAUGGAGUGAUGAAUUACCAAAUGACUAGAGGAAAUAAUUAGUUGAGGGACAUAGAUCUUUGCAAGUACACCAUUUUUCACUUUCUCCUCAGACACUCAACUCCUUUAUUCUUAACUCGCCAAUCAAAUAUCAGUUAUAUACAUUAUAUUAUCAGAUCACACACUUAACCCUUAUUCUCCUUGCCUUGAGACUGUAUGUUACGAUCCCCUCUCCUUUAAACCUACUCAGAUCAUCCCCUGAUCUCCUAGAUCACAGCUUCAACCAUGGCCAUUUUUCUUUUUCCACUCCCCCAACUUUGCUUUACCUAGGCGUAUAUAAUUUGUCAUGUCCUGUAUUGUUCCAGGGGAAAAAACAAAGUUAUAUUUCCUAUAUAAGAAUUAAUUUUUAGGGGCGCCUGGGUGGCUCAGUCAGUUAAGUGUCCAACUUCAGCUCACAUCAUGAUCUCACAGUCUGUGAAUUUGAGCCCCGCAUCAGGCUCUUUGCUGACAGCUCAGAGCCUGGAGCCUGCUUUGGAUUCUGUGUCUCCCUGUCUCUCUGCCCCUCCCCUGCUCAUGCUCGUCUUUCUUUGUCUCAAAAAUAAAUAAAAACAUUUAAAAAAAUAAAAAAAAUGA
rnacentral:lncRNA from 1 species